GCCAAACGGACGGGCACCGCAGCGCGUUGUAAAGCGGACCCACACGUUUUGAACGAAAAGAAGUCGAAGAACUAGAUUGAGCGGGGAGAAAAAAAAAAAAAAAAAGACACGGGGGAUUUUUAUUCCGAGGGACGUGAGACAUCGUUGUCGGACACGACGACUUUGCAUCGUGAAUUUUGAAAAAAAAAAAAACAAAAAAAAAAUGACCACUUUAAAGUACCGGUUAACUGGAU